UCGGGAAUUUUGGGCAAUGGGCGAAAGCCUGACCCAGCAACGCCGCGUGAAGGAUGAAGUAUUUCGGUAUGUAAACUUCGAAAGAAUAGGAAGAAUAAAUGACAGUACUAUUUAUAAGGUCCGGCUAACUACGUGCCAGCAGCCGCGGUAAUACGUAGGGACCAAGCGUUGUUCGGAUUUACUGGGCGUAAAGGGCGCGUAGGCGGCAAUUCAAGUCAUCUGUGAAAUCUCCGGGCUUAACUCGGAACGGUCAGAUGAUACUGCUUUGCUAGAGUGCAGAAGGGGCAAUCGGAAUUCUUGGUGUAGCGGUGAAAUGCGUAGAUAUCAAGAGGAACACCUGAGGUGAAGACGGGUUGCUGGGCUGACACUGACGCUGAGGCGCGAAAGCCAGGGGAGCAAACGGGAUUAGAUACCCGAGUAGUCCCUGAGCGGGCUGGCAAGGCGCAU
rnacentral:rRNA from 1 species